AACCUAGCACACCUGCGGUGUGUACCUGCGGAAGGAUCAUUAGGGGAGGCCCAUAAAGCUCUCGCCCCCAACCAUUGUGAACGAAGCUUUAGUCGUAGUUGCUUCGGCGGGUGGUAAUACCAGGCCCCUUAGGGGUACCCGCCGGAGGUAAGCAAACUCUUGUUAUUUAUUAUCAUCUCUGAGUAAACUUUUAAUAAGUCAAAACUUUCAACAAUGGAUCU
rnacentral:misc_RNA from 1 species